rnacentral:rRNA from 1 species
GAAUUGACGGGGACCCGCACAAGCAGCGGAGCAUGUGGUUUAAUUCGAAGCAACGCGAAGAACCUUACCAGGCCUUGACAUCCUCUGACAAUCCUAGAGAUAGGACGUUUCCUUCGGGAACAGAGAGACAGGUGGUGCAUGGUUGUCGUCAGCUCGUGUCGUGAGAUGUUGGGUUAAGUCCCGCAACGAGCGCAACCCUUGCCUUUAGUUGCCAGCAUUGAGUUGGGCACUCUAAAGGGACUGCCGUAGACAAUACGGAGGAAGGUGGGGACGACGUCAAAUCAUCAUGCCCCUUAUGGCCUGGGCUACACACGUGCUACAAUGGGUUGGGACAAAGGGAAGCGAAGCCGCGAGGUGAAGCC